CAGAGCACUUUUCUGUAAACAGAACCCAGGACUGUAAAAUACCUAUUUGAUGAUGAUGGGAGUCAUAUAAGCACAGUGGUUGGAAACAGCUAUGUGUCAAGAGGGAACUGGGUUUUUCCCCCUACUUUCUGUGAUGACUACUUGGGUGUCACAGUUAAUUCCUGUAGAGAUUAUACUGGAUUUUGCCAACUGUUACAUAAGCUUUAAACUGGUGUUUUCAACUUUCAUGUGACUUGAAUGAAGGUCAUCCCUAUCUCAAGCUCAAGAAUAAUUCUAGGUUGAUCUAAGCCCAUGGUCUUCAAAGUGUGGUUUGCAGACGUCUAAAGGUCUCCAAGACUCUUUCAGAAGAUCUAAAAGGCCAAAAACUAUUUUGAUGACUGUACUAAGAAGUUACAGUAUUUGUGUUUUAUUAAUGUAAAUUUGUUGACAUUUGAUGAUGAUGCAAAAGUUGCAGAGGAUAAUACUGCUAAGACCUUAGCACAAAUAAGGAAAACCACUUGGACAAAAGGUAUAAGCUGAACUAGUCACAUUUGUCAUAAGUGCCAUGUUUUACUUGAAAGAAUUAUUGACAAACUAUGGUUAUUCAGACAUAGAUAUUUGGCAAAUGUUUUCUCAAAAAUGUCAUAUAGGAGGAGACAACUGACUAUUUCUUGACAAAGAUAAAAUUUAAGCUUUUAAAAAUUAGAAUUUGGAAAUAUUGUAAACUUGAUAAAGACUUUUCUCAUAAGGUUGGUAGUAGGUGGUAUCAAUUGAUGUGAGUUUUUGCUAUUGUAGAGUGAAAUGUGUCAACAUUUAGAAGAUUUGCAAAUCAGUGAAUCAGUAUUUUCCAAAUCAUCAAUGCAUGAUACUAAAAAAUUACACAAGUGUAAAUAUCCAUUCAAAAUAUGAUAUACAUACAGAGCUAUUUAACAGAAUAUCAAUUAACUUGAUUUGUGAUGUUUUCUAAAUCAGUGGAUGUUUGAAAACUAUUUCUAAAAUGUCAAUACAAUCAGUAUCACUUAAUUUAAAUACAAAUUAAUAAAUAUUUGAUUUUGGUAGUGUCUUUUCAUUAAAAUAUUCAAGAAACCCUGUUAAUAAAGAGUAAA